UCCUGAGACGCAGACACUCGCCACUAGGACGCCUGCGCGCUACGGCCACGCCCCUGCGCCGCGGCCACGCCCCGCGCCUCCACUCCGUGCGCGUGCGCACUUUGAAGGUGGAGCACCUGGGCUGUCUUCUUCGCAGAGCAGGAAGAGCUGGAUCAGAGGUUAAGAACAUAGCUUUUCGGGGCUGAAGAGGUGGCUCAGCGGUUAAGAGCACUGGCUACUCUUCCAGAGGACCUGAGUUCAAUUCCCAGCAACCACAUGGUGCCUCACAUCCAUCUGUAAUGCGAUUUGAUGCCCUCUUCUGGUGUGUCUGAAGACAGUGACAGUGUACUCAUAAAUAAACAUAUAAGUAAACAUAUUUAAAAAAAAACAACAUAGCUUUUCUAGAUGACUCCGGUUCAAUUCUCAGUACCCACAGCACUCAGCCUCACAACCAUCUGUAAUUCAAGUCUCAGGGGAUUCGACUCCUUCUGGCCUCCAGUUACCGGGCACACAAGUGCAUGGACAUACCAUUACAUAUAUUUUUUAAAGAUUUAUUUAUGGGGUUGGGGAUUUAGCUCAGUGGUAGAGCUCUUGCCUAACAAGCACAAGGCCCUGGGUUCGGUCCCCAGCUCUGGAAAAAAAAAAAAAAGAAAGAAAUUUAAAGAUUUAUUUAUUUUAUUUAUAUGUUAGUACACUGUAGUUCUCUUCAGACACUUCAGAAGAGAGCAUCCCAUUACAGAUGGUGGUGAGCCACCAUGUGGUUGCUGGAAAUUGAACUCAGGACCUCUGGAAGAGCAGUCAGUGCUCUUAACCACUGAGCUAUCUCUCCAGCCCCACUACAUAUAUUUUAAAAGCUAGGAUUAAAGGCAUACACCACCGCCUCCAGCCUUGAUAAUUUCUUUUUAACCUCUCCACAAAAUACUUAAUAGUGCAAGAAGGAAAUAGUAACUUUAGAGGUAGGAAAUAUCAAUCACCAGAAAUUAGCAAGUUCUUUUUUAAAAAAUAUCUUAUUAUUUAUUUAUUUGCGUGUGUGUGUGUGUGUGUGUGUGUGUGUGUGUGUGUGUGUGUACAUUAAUACUUGCUAUGGUGUUCUUUUGUAACAGCUGUCAGAAGUUGUUCCUAGUCUUCCUUCAUGUGAGUGCUAGGGCUGGGACUCAGGUCAUCAGGCCAGGCUCAGUAGCAAGUGUCUUUUUUGCCUCCUGAGAGCGCCCUCUUGCUGACCUUAGCAGUACUUCUCACUAUGAUGCAAUGAAAGGGGCACGAAUUCACUAAUACAUGUCCUUGGCAAAUUACAUGACUUCAGGUUAUUCAGGUUAUUCUUUUUUUUUUUUAAAGAUUUAUUUUAUUUAUAUGAGUACACUGUAGCUGUCUUCAGACACACCAGAAGAGGGCAUCAGAACCCAUUACAGAUGGUUGUGAGCCACCAUGUGGUUGCUGGGAAUUGAACUCAGGACCUGUGGAAGAGCAGUCAGCGCUCCUAACCACUGAGCCAUCUCUCCAGCCCCAGGUUAUUCUUUUAACUAAUUUUUUCCAUCUUUAUUAACUUGAAUAUUUCUUAUUUACAUUUCAAUUGUUAUUCCCUUUCCCGGUUUCUGGGCCAACAUCCCCCUAACCCCUUCCCCUCCCCUUCUCUAUCGGUGUUCCCCUCCCCAUCCUCCCCCCAUUACCGCCCUCCCCCCAACAAUCACGUUCACUGGGGGUUCUGUCUUGGCAGGACCAAGGGCUUUCCUUCCACUGAUGCUCUUUUUUUUUUUUUCCCCGGAGCUGGGGAACCGAACCCAGGGCCUGCUAGGCAAGUGCUCUACCACUGAGCUAAAUCCCCAACCCCUCCACUGGUGCUCUUACUAGGCUAUUCAUUGCUACCUAUGAGGUUGGAGCCCAGGGUCAGUCCAUAUAUAGUCUUUGGGUAGUGGCUUGUCUCUGGAAGCUCUGGUUGGUUGGCAUUGUUGUUCAUAUGGGGUUAACUAAUUUUUUUUUUAAAUAAUUAUUUAUGGGGUUGGGGAUUUAGCUCAGUGGUAGAGCACUUGCCUAGCAAGCGCAAGGCCCUGGGUUCGGUCCCCAGCUCCGAAAAAAAGAAAAAAAAUAAUUAUUUAUUUUAUGCAUAUGAGUACACUCGCUGUCUUCAGACACACCAGGGGAAGGCAUUGGAUCCCAUUACAGAUGGUUGUGAGCCACCAUGUGGGUGCUGGGAAUUGAGCUCAGGACCUCUGGAAGAGCAGUCAGUGCUCUUAACCGCUGAGCCACCUCUCCAGCCCUUUAGUUAUUUUUUUUUUAAAGAUUUAUUUUAUUUAUUAUAUAUAUAAGUACACUGUAGCUGUCUUCAGAUACACCAGAAGGGGGCAUCAAAUCUCUUUACAGAUGGUUGUGAGCCACCAUGUGGUUGCUGGGAAUUGAACUCAUGACCUCUGGAAGAGCAGUCGGGUGCUCUUAACCACUGAGCCAUCUCUCCAGCCCCCUUUAGUUAUUUUUUAAAGAUACAUUUUUUUUUUUUUUUGGUUUUAUUGUAUAUGUGUGUGUGCAUGUGUGGCUGUGUGCCUGAGUAUCUGAGUAUAUGUAUCUGUACCAUGUGUGUGCAAGCACACUUGGAGACCAGAAGGGGGCAGUAGAUCCCCUGGGACUGGAGUUGCUGAUUGUUGAGGUACCAUGUAGGUGCUGGAGAUCAAACCCUGGUCCUUUGUAAAAAUAGCCAUAGCUGUUAGCCACUGUAACCUCCUGCAGCCCCUACUAUUCUUUUCCUUUUAUCAAAAACUUUGGAGGUAGGUAUAGUGGCACACACCUUUAAUCCCCCGCACUUGAGAGGCAGAGGCAGCUAUCUGGAGACAAGGGACUGCGGUGCAUAUUUUACAUAUCAAAACAGACCUGGCCUCCAAGUCCUCCCAGCAUCCCUCAGUUCCAACUUGGGCACCUGAUCCUGAACUUUCCAGCCCAGGGGCUGGGCUUCUCUUCCCCCUAUAUAAUCCACAUCUCUCCAUAUAAUCCACCUCCCUCUCCCUCCCUCUCUCUCCCUCUCCCCCUCCCCUCUCCCCCUCUCCCUCCUUCUCCUCCUCCUCCUCCUCUUCCUCUUUCUUUUCCUUUUCUGCUCUCCAUGUGUUUCCCAUUCCUCUCUUCCUCUCUCCCUCCCCACCCCGCCCCCUUUCCCCAUGGCAACUCCCCUGGCCUCAAUCCUUGGGAGCAGAGAAUUUACCUGCCUGAGAGCAGCUCCCUAAAAAAACUGCCCAUAAUCUAAUCUGGCUUGAAUUGGCUCAUUUCACCAGCAGCAGAGGAGUAACCUAUCAGCAGGUAAGUAGAUCUUUAUGAGUUUGAAGCCAGCCAGCCUGAUCUACAUGGUUAGUUUCAGGGCAGCCAGAUCUACAUAAUGAACGUCUGUCUUAAUAAAAGAAUAUGGAAGGAAGGAAGGAAGGAAGGAAGGAAGGAAACCAACCUUUGGGUUUCUAGUCCAGUGAGCUGGCUCAGAAUAAAGGUGCUUUCUGGGCAAGCCUGGUGACCUGGGUUUAAUCCCCACACUCUAAAGGUGAAAGGAGAAAAGCAACUCAUCCUGAUACCUCAAAGGUGGCUGAAGCACUCCCACCCACCCACAUCCAUUGCUGCUACGACUAUUUCAAUAAUAAUAAUAAUAAAUAAUAAUAAAUUUAAAAGCAAAGAAAACAUUUUACUGUUUUCCUCUUGUACCUUUUUGUUCAAUAACCAAAUUAAGUAUUCCUUUUUGUUAUUUUGGUUUUUUUUUUUUUUUUCCUUCUCUGUAACCUUGGCUGUCCUGGAGCUCACUCUGUUUGAGGCUGUCCUCAAACCCAGAUAUCUGCUUACCUCUUGCCUUCCAAGUGCUGAGAUUAAAGGCAUGUGCCACCACUGUUUAGCAUCCCGUUAUAUUUGCAAUGUGUAAUAGUAUUCUCUUAUAUUUCUGCUGCCUUCUGGGUAUGGGGAUAUUUGGGUCUCAAACUUGGAUUAUACUAAGAUUGUCUGGAGAAUUCGAGUAAUUAAAGAGGUCUGCAAACCACCUUCCAGAAAAAAAAAAAAGUUUAAUCAGCCCAGAGGACAGCCUGGGCUUUCAGUGUUUUAAAAGCAUUUGCACCGCAUUUAUAAUUAGAGAAGCGUUGCCAAAGUCAGAAUCUCUGAAGUGACAGAAAGAAGAUUGAACCAAAUACGCAAGAACAUAGGCAGAGGUUUCCUGGAAUUUCAGCUCAGGAGCAGAAAGAA